rnacentral:rRNA from 1 species
GGCAGGUCAGCAUACUGCCGUGAAUACGUUCCCGGGCCUUGUACACACCGCCCGUCACACCAUGAGAGUUGGGAAUACCCGAAGCCUGUGAGCUAACUUAUAGAGGCAGCAGUCGAAGGUAGAAUCAAUGAUUGGGGUGAAGUCGUAACAAGGUAAC